rnacentral:rRNA from 1 species
UACGUAGGGGGCAAGCGUUGUCCGGAAUCAUUGGGCGUAAAGAGCGUGUAGGCGGCCCGGUAAGUCCGCUGUGAAAGUCCAGGGCUCAACCCUGGGAUGCCGGUGGAUACUGCCAUGACUUGAGUCCGGUAGAGGAGAGUGGAAUUCCCGGUGUAGCGGUGAAAUGCGCAGAUAUCGGGAGGAACACCAGUAGCGAAGGCGGCUCUCUGGGCCGUGACUGACGCUGAGGAGCGAAAGCGUGGGGAGCGAACAGG